rnacentral:rRNA from 1 species
CGAGACGGCGACGUUAAGCAAAUCCCAGAAAUAACGUCCCAGUUCGGAUUGUAGUCUGCAACCCGACUACAUGAAGCUGGAAUCGCUAGUAAUCGCGGAUCAGAAUGCCGCGGUGAAUACGUUCCCGGGUCUUGUACACACCGCCCGUCACACCAUGGGAGUCGGAAAUGCCCGAAGUCAGUGACCUAACCGAAAGGAAGGAGCUGCCGAAGGUGGAGCCGGUAACUGGGGUGAAGUCGUAACAAGGUACC